rnacentral:misc_RNA from 1 species
AACGCACCUUGCGCUCCUUGGUAUUCCGAGGAGCAUGCCUGUUUGAGUGUCAUUAAAUUCUCAACCCCUCCAGCUUUUGCAAGUUGUGAUGGGGCUUGGAUGUGGGAGUUUGCGGGUCCUUUAUCAGUAAAGGUCGGCUCUCCUGAAAUACAUUAGCGGAACCGUUUGCAGUCCCGUCACUAGUGUGAUAAUUAUCUACACUGUGAUGAUUGCUCUCUGACUAGUUCAGCUGCUAAUCGUCCACUACGGACAACGUUUAAUGAACUUGUUGACCUCAAAUCAGGUAGGACUACCCGCUGAACUUAA